rnacentral:rRNA from 1 species
AUAGAAAGUUACUUCGGUACAUCGGUGACAGGUGGUGCAUGGUUGUCGUCAGCUCGUGUCGUGAGAUGUUGGGUUAAGUCCCGCAACGAGCGCAACCCCUAUUGUUAGUUGCCAUCAUUCAGUUGGGCACUCUAGCGAGACUGCCGGUAAUAAACCGGAGGAAGGUGGGAUGACGUCAAAUCAUCAUGCCCCUUAUGACCUGGGCUACACACGUGCUACAAUGGUUGGUACAACGAGUUGCGAGUCGGUGACGGCGAGCUAAUCUCUUAAAGCCAAUCUCAGUUCGGAUUGUAGGCUGCAACUCGCCUACAUGAAGUCGGAAUCGCUAGUAAUCGCGGAUCAGCACGCCGCGGUGAAUACGUUCCCGGGCCUU